GACGAACGCUGGCGGCGUGCCUAACACAUGCAAGUCGAACGGAAAGGCCCUGCUUUUGUGCGGUUCUCGAUUGGCGAACGCGUGAGUAACACGUGAGUAACCUGCCCUUGUCUUUCGGAGAACUUCACGAAACUGGGGCUAAUACCGGAUAGGAGCUCCUGCUCCAUGGUGGGCGUUGGAAAGUUUCGGCGGUUGGGGAUGGACUCGCGGCUUAUCAGCUUGUUGGUGGGGUAGUGGCUUACCAAGGCUGUGACGGGUAGCCGGCCUGGGAGGGUGACCGGGCACAAUGGGACUGCGGGAGGCAGCAGACUCGAACGUUAGGCAAUGGGCGGGAGUAUUGCACAGUGGGCGCGAGCGUGAUACAACGGCCUUGGGUGCGUGAAGACGGCUUUUGGGGUGAAAACCGCUUUCGCCUGAGACGAAGCGGUAGUGACGGUAAUGGAUAAAGAAGCACCGGCUAACUACGUG
rnacentral:rRNA from 1 species